rnacentral:rRNA from 1 species
AAAGGAAUAGACGGGGGCCCGCACAAGCAGAGGAGCAUGUGGCUUAAUUCGAUGCAACGCGAAGAACCUUACCCGGGUUUGACAUGUGACUGCUACACCCGUGAAAGCGGGAUUCCUUCGAGGGUGUCACACAGGUGCUGCAUGGCUGUCGUCAGUUCGUGCCGUGAGGUGUUUGGUUAAGUCCAGCAACGAACGCAACCCUUGUGUCCAGUUGCCAUCGGGUAGUGCCGGGGACUCUGGACAGACUGCCCGUUCACGCGGGAGGAAGGUGGGGAUGACGUCAAGUCAGUAUGGCCCUUACAUCCGGGGCUGCACACGUGCUACAAUGGUCGGUACAGAAGGAUGCUUCACCGCGAGGUGCGGCAAAUCCCCAAAACCGGCCCCAGUUCGGAUCGAGGUCUGCAAUUCGACCUCGUGAAGUCGGAUUUGCUAGUAACGGCGCAUCAGCUACGGCGCCGUGAAUACGUUCCCGGGCCUUGUACACACCGCCCGU